rnacentral:rRNA from 1 species
AACAAAAACAUAGACAGUAGUUUUUUUUUAAAAAGAUUAUUUANUUUUUCUGCCCGGUGGGAUUUAUUAACGGCCGCAGNACCUNCNCUGUGUUAAGGAAGCAUAAUCCGUUGGCUAUUAAUUGUAGUCUGGAAUGAAAGAAGUAAUGAAUCGUAGCUAUAAUAAUUAGUUUUUUUUUAAUUAGAUUAUCUGGUGAAAAUACCAGUUAAUUAGAAAAAAGACGAGAAGACCCUUAGAAUUUUUAAAGAAAAGUGUAUAUUUCUUCUAAAAUUUAAUACAGAAAAUAGAUUACUUCCUAGUUUUUUGUGGGGGCGACAAGAAAACAAAACUUUCUAAAAAACUUUUCUAAAAUUUUUUUUUUAAAUAAAAUUAAUGAGAUUUUAUUUGACGAACUUUUUAUGAAUUACUAAAUUACCUUAGGGAUAACAGCAUAGUGAUAAAUUUAUUUAUUUUGCGACCUCGAUGUUGGACUAGGAACUUUACCACUAACAGUGUAAAAAGAAUGUUCUGUUCGAACAAUAAUUUCC